rnacentral:rRNA from 1 species
GAUGAACGCUGGCGGCGUGCUUAACACAUGCAAGUCGAACGGGAUCCCAGGGGUGCUUGCACUUUUUGGUGAGAGUGGCGAACGGGUGAGUAACACGUGAGUAACCUGUCCUUUUCUUUGGGAUAAGCAUUCGAAAGGGUGUUUAAUACCUUAUGUUCUGUCUGCCUCGCAUGGGGUGGGUGGGAAAGGCUUUGGCCGGAUUUGGGUGGGCUCGCGGUCUAUCAGCUUGUUGGUGGGGUGAUGGCUUACCAAGGCUUUGACGGGUAGCCGGCCUGAGAGGGGGGUCGGUCACAUUGGGACUGAGAUACGGCCCAGACUCCUGCGGGAGGCAGCAGUGGGGGAUAUUGCACAAUGGGCGAAAGCCUGAUGCAGCGACGCCGCGUGGGGGAUGAAGGCCUUCGGGUUGUAAACUUCUUUUGCUCUGAACAAGGCAUGCCAGUGGGUGUGUUGAGUGUAGGGGUUGAUUAGCGCCGGCUAACUACGUG